UGCCAGCAGCCGCGGUAACACGGGGGGCGCAAGCGUUAUUCGGAAUUAUUGGGCAUAAAGCGCACGUAGGCGGACUAUUAAGUCAGGGGUGAAAUCCCGGGGCUCAACCCCGGAACUGCCUCUGAUACUGGUAGUCUUGAGUUCGAGAGAGGUGAGUGGAAUUCCGAGUGUAGAGGUGAGAUUCGUAGAUAUUCGGAGGAACACCAGUGGCGAAGGCGGCUCACUGGCUCGAUACUGACGCUGAGGUGCGAAAGCGUGGGGAGCAAACAGGAUUAGAUA
rnacentral:rRNA from 1 species